CAACCUUUAUUCUUAAACACCGGAUCGCCAACCCCAAUCUCCAAUUGCAACAGUAAAAAACCAAAAAAAGAUCAAACCCUCAAGAAUCGAAGAAAAAUACCAGGACUCUACCUAGAACCGACGGAAACCAAUAGGAAACACCUCCUGCUAGGAUACCGAAUCUGGGCCCAAGACUUGCCGUUCGGCCCCUUUUCCUAGAUUUGAGUCUAGAGAAACCUCACCC
rnacentral:lncRNA from 1 species